rnacentral:siRNA from 1 species
AUGAAUUUAACCUGGUAUGCAUCC